GUCUUCUGUCCUGGCCAGGUGAGCUGGGGAAGCUGCUCCCAGUGGUGAAGGUUCUGUUCAGGACAUGAUUCGAGGUUUAAAGCAGGACAGCCAGACCUGCUGCCUUUCUCAGACGGACAAUGCAGAGCCAAGGUCGCCUCUGCUGGAGGGAGUGCCCGGGAGUCCAGACGCCAGAUAUGGAACGCGGCCCCACACUGCGAGCUGUCGGAAACCCUGUGCAAUUUAUCAUCCCAUCCCCAGCACCUACAAAAGCACACUUCAUGGACUAGAAGCAGGGCGUUUGUGUGGAAUGAAGGAAUGGUGGCUCCAGGGUUGCCUGCAGACACUGAAGUUUGAGGAUUCUAACACCGGGACAUGAGAGAGAAUGUGGGAAAUGACGCUGAGAAAACCCUGGAAGGCAUUAGAGGUCUUAGAAACUGCGUCCCAGGAAAAGCGGGAAGCCGAGGCAGCGCGAAGAGCCCUGCCUGGUGCAGGCAGGAGUGAGGCCUCAGUGGGCUGCCUAGGGGAUGCAUUGUGAAACCUGCUCUAGAAACAAUCAGAGACGGGGA
rnacentral:lncRNA from 1 species